rnacentral:rRNA from 1 species
CCUACGGGAGGCAGCAGUGAGGGAUAUUGCACAAUGGGGGCAACCCUGAUCCAGCGACGCCGCGUGUGGGAAGACGGUCCUCUGGAUUGUAAACCACUGUCCCCAGGGACGAAGAUGACGGUACCUUGGGAGGAAGCUCCGGCUAACUACGUGCCAGCAGCCGCGGUAAUACGUAGGGAGCGAGCGUUGUACGGAAUUACUGGGUGUAAAGGGGGCGUAGGCGGGGAUGCAAGUUGGGGGUCAAAAGUACCGGCUCAACUGGUAGUCGCACUCAAAACUGCAGCUCUUGAGUGAAGUAGAGGCAGGCGGAAUGCCUAGUGUAGCGGUGAAAUGCGUAGAUAUCAGGAGGAACACCAGUGGCGAAGGCGGCCUGCUGGGCUUUUACUGACGCUGAGGCUCGAAAGUGUGGGGAGCAAACAGGAUUAGAUACCCGUGUAGUC